AGACCCGAAACCCGGUGAUCUAGCCAUGGGCAGGUUGAAGGUUGGGUAACACUAACUGGAGGACCGAACCGACUAAUGUUGAAAAAUUAGCGGAUGACCUGUGGCUGGGGGUGAAAGGCCAAUCAAACCGGGAGAUAGCUGGUUCUCCCCGAAAGCUAUUUAGGUAGCGCCUCGUGAAUUCAUCUCCGGGGGUAGAGCACUGUUUCGGCUAGGGGGCCAUCCCGGCUUACCAACCCGAUGCAAACUGCGAAUACCGGAGAAUGUUAUCACGGGAGACACACGGCGGGUGCUAACGUCCGUCGUGAAGAGGGAAACAACCCAGACCGCCAGCUAAGGUCCCAAAGUCAUGGUUAAGUGGGAAACGAUGUGGGAAGGCCCAGACAGCCAGGAUGUUGGCUUAGAAGCAGCCAUCAUUUAAAGAAAGCGUAAUAGCUCACUGGUCGAGUCGGCCUGCGCGGAAGAUGUAACGGGGCUAAACCAUGCACCGAAGCUGCGGCAGCGACACUCAGGUGUUGUUGGGUAGGGGAGCGUUCUGUAAGCCUGCGAAGGUGGCCUGUGAGGGUUGCUGGAGGUAUCAGAAGUGCGAAUGCUGACAUAAGUAACGAUAAAGCGGGUGAAAAGCCCGCUCGCCGGAAGACCAAGGGUUCCUGUCCAACGUUAAUCGGGGCAGGGUGAGUCGACCCCUAAGGCGAGGCCGAAAGGCGUAGUCGAUGGGAAACGGGUUAAUAUUCCCGUACUUGGUGUUACUGCGAAGGGGGGACGGAGAAGGCUAUGUUGGCCGGGCGACGGUUGUCCCGGUUUAAGCGUGUAGGUGUGUGUUCCAGGUAAAUCCGGUUCACUUUAACACUGAGGCGUGAUGACGAGGCACUACGGUGCUGAAGCAACAAAUGCCCUGCUUCCAGGAAAAGCCUCUAAGCAUCAGGUAACAUCAAAUCGUACCCCAAACCGACACAGGUGGUCAGGUAGAGAAUACCAAGGCGCUUGAGAGAACUCGGGUGAAGGAACUAGGCAAAAUGGUGCCGUAACUUCGGGAGAAGGCACGCUGACAUGUAGGUGAA
rnacentral:rRNA from 1 species